rnacentral:lncRNA from 1 species
CCCGGUUUGCGGGGUCUCCCGGGAAGCCAGCCCCACAUUUUCUAAGGAGCUGUAGCUUCUAUUCCUCUGCAGCGUCAGCCUCCCCUCGGCCAUUGCCAAAGGCACUUAGACAGCCCAGCCCGGGGCAUUCACAGAAGAGCCGAGUCAUCCCUUAUGAGGCCACAUGCACUCAGUGGUCCCCGGAGCCUCUGUCCGGAGGUCAGGGGGCGCCUGGAAAUUCUGGGAGCAUACUGCAGAGUCAGGGGGUGAAGCCCUGCUCUGCGGCCGGCCGAGGCCUGUGGGGAGGCAGAGAGCCAGUGGCUGCGUCAGGAAUACUCAUUCUCGGCUCUGGAGAAACAGACGUCGUGGCUGAGGUUGGCCAAUGCUGUCAGAGUGCUGGUGAUACACAUUCCCCUCUGCUUGACAGUGAGCUUCCUGCUUGGCACAUCAUAAUUGGGUCUUGA